AGUGAACGCUGGCGGUAGGCCUAACACAUGCAAGUCGAACGGCAGCACAGGAGAGCUUGCUCUCUGGGUGGCGAGUGGCGGACGGGUGAGGAAUACAUCGGAAUCUACCUUUUCGUGGGGGAUACAGUAGGGAAACUUACGCUAAUACCGCAUACGACCUACGGGUGAAAGCGGGGGACCGAAAGGCCCCGCGCGAUCGGAUGAGCCGAUGCCGGAUUAACUCGUUGGAGGGGUAAGAGCCCACCAAGGCGACGAUCCGUAGCUGGGCUGAGAGGAUGAUCAGCCACACUGGGACUGAGACACGGCCCAGACUCCUACGGGAGGCAGCAGUGGGGAAUAUUGGACAAUGGGCGCAAGCCUGAUCCAGCAAUGCCGCGUGUGUGAAGAAGGCCUUCGGGUUGUAAAGCACUUUUAUCGGGAGCGAAAAGCGGACGGUGAAUACCCGUCCGUGCUGACGGUACCCGAGGAAUAAGCACCGGCUAACUUCGUGCCAGCCGCCGCCGUAAGAC
rnacentral:rRNA from 1 species